rnacentral:ribozyme from 1 species
UUCCCUUCUUUCUUUCUUUCAUUUCGUGCUUUCAUUACAACCGAAAUGAAAAGAAAUGAAAGAAGAGAAGGGAAAGAGACAAAGAAAUAUAAUGUGGUGUUCUUUUUUCUCU